AGUGACGUCAUUUAGCUGCGCCGUGCUGAGCCGGUGGGAGCAGAGUGUGAGGCUCGGGGUUCAUUGUGUUUAUUGGGAUUAUUCCUGGUUCCAGAUCAGGAGGUUAGUAUUGUCCUCAGUGACCCCCCUGGAGCAUCAUGUGACCUGGUAAUACAGCCAUUCAGUUAUUACUGAGCAGCAUGGAGGAUACUGGAUCAUUAAUACAAUGCUGCCAUUAAUCAGACUAGUACAUUAACAUGGGAGAGAGGGGGGGCAGCAUGGAGAGAGAGAGAGAGGGGGGGCAGCAUGGAGAGAGAGUGAGAGGGGGAUAGCAUGGAGAAAGAGAGUGAGAGGGGGAUAGCAUGGAGAAAGAGAGAGAGGGACAGCAUGGAGAGAAGAGAGGGACAGCAUGGAGAGAGAGAGAGGACAGCAUGGAGAGAGAGAGAGAGGGACAGCAUGGAGAGAGAGAGACAGCAUGGAGAGAGAGAGGGGGGACAGCAUGGAGAGAGAGAGAGGGGACAUCGUGGAGAGAGAGGGACAGCAUGGAGAGAGAGAGAGGGGACAUCAUGAAGAGAGAGAGGGGACAUCAUGAAGAGAGAGAGGGGACAGCAUGGAGAGAGGGGGGCAGCAUGGAGAGAGAGGGGGGCAGCAUGGAGAGAGAGAGAGAAGGGGGCAGCAUGGAGAGAGAGAGAGAGGGAAGCAUGGAGAGAGAGAGAGAGAGGGGGAAGUAUAUGGGGAGAGAGAGAGAGAGAGGGGCAGCAUGGAGAGAGAGAGAGAGAGAGAGGGGCAGCAUGGAGAGAGAGAGGAGGGCAGCAUGGAGAGAGAGAGGGGGCAGCAUGGAGAGAGAGAGAGGGGGCAACAUGGAGAGAGAGAAGAGAGAGUAAGGCAGCAUGGAGAGAGAAGGAGAGGGGGGCAGCAUGGAGAGAGAGAGAAGGAGAGAGGGCAGCAUGGAGAGAGAAGGGACAUUUUCUGUGUUCACUAUACCUGGAGGGACCCACCCUUUUAUGUUACACUAAACAAGAUGGAACUUCAAAACAUACCAAAUUAUUAGAACAAACCAAUGGUUAAUAAAUGCUUGCGAAGAGAAGUUUCUACAUUUAUAAUUUUGUGCGAUAAUAUUGCAGAACAAGAUUAUUUUAUCAUAAUGAGGGGGUUUACAUUUUCUAUAUCAUAACGAGGGGGUUCGUUCUUUUUACUGUGUUCUUAUCUUAUCUACAAAGCUUACCUAAUGAUAAACUGAUCAGAAAUGGCUUUAGCUAGGAACACUGUAGCAGGAUAUAUUUGCUGACUCAAUAAGUGUCUUUGAGGGGCAUUGCAGCAAAGGAGAAUGUUUAACCCUUUCACAUGGGGAGAGAAGUAAAGGGACAGUAUGGAGGGGAGGAGAUGGUGCAGCAGAGAGGAUACUGGAUCAUUAAUGCAACGCUGCUACUAAUCAGACAAUUAUAUUAAGUAAGAAAGUAUAACCCAAAGAUGGGGUAGAGCGACAGAGAAUAUAUGCUGUGUGUUAUAUUGGAGGACACUGAUUUGUAAUAAUGUGAAUAAUGUGUUAUUUAGGAACAAUCUGAGUUUGAGAAAGAGGACAUUUACUUUUCUGCAUAGGAGUGGGACUGUUUAAAUCAAGAAGAUCUAGUGGUGGAGAAUUACCAGACCAUCGGCUCUCUGGGUAAGGAAAUCUCACACAUCCCCUUUACAGGAAAUAUU
rnacentral:lncRNA from 1 species